rnacentral:rRNA from 1 species
UACGUAGGUGACCAGCGUUGUCCGGAUUUACUGGGCGUAAAGAGCGCGCAGGCGGUCGUUCAAGUCGAGUGUGAAAGCCCCCGGCUCAACUGGGGAGGGUCACUCGAUACUGAUCGACUUGAAGGCAGGAGAGGGAAGCGGAAUUCCCGGUGUAGUGGUGAAAUGCGUAGAUAUCAGGAGGAACACCGGUGGCGAAGGCGGGUCUCUGGUCCGGUACUGACGCUGAGGUGCGAAAGCGUGGGGAGCAAACAGG